GCCCUGUGCUCCCAUCCCCCAGAAAAGAAACUCUAGGAAUUAUUCCAAGUGCUUCUGUCUAUAUUUAGGGCACUCUGCAGAGAGACUUUUUGAGCACUCUCAAGGGAUUUGCCAUGCCAGCUGCUAGGCCUUUGCUCGGGCAGGCCCUUCCGGUUUAUGCCCUCCCAACCCCCACCUCCCCUCACCCUUGCUUCCAACGUUCAUGGUGCCUCUUCCUCGCAAUCACGACUCUGGAGUCUUCUCCCUUACCAGAAGUCAGGUCACAAGUCCUGGACGAAAGGAACAGCAUUUCCCCACCAAUAUUCUAUGCUUGACAUCAGAGGGACGAGGGUGGGAUUUGCUGAGUCAACCACUCACCCCACUGCAGAAUCCAAGAGGUUUAAGAAAAUCUCCUUCCUGGAGUAGGAGGCGUGGAUGGUAGGGAUGGUGUCUGAUCAGGCUACUCUACAAGUUCACUUGCUUUGUACACCCCCCGUUCGAGGACUCUCUGCUUCACCUACCCCCAACUCACAGGAAUACCUUUGCCCUGGGGCCCCCGGUUAGGGAUUGACUGUUCUAAUCCUGAGGUCAGAAUGGCUCCACCUGCUAGUUUAUUAAAGGGAAACACCUGCCCUCAAAGUGAUUCAGAUAGUCGUGGUCCUUAACCUGAAGGGUGGCGAGGGACACGCCCUAGCUGCUGGUUUCCCUGGUAACUGAUAAGACCCACGGUGAUGUUAGUUAUUCUAUAAAUAGUAGCCUCCUCCUCCCCUUCUGCCACAUUCUGUCUAGGAUAGCCAGUCACUCCAGGACCUCCUGCUUAAGAUCUCCUGUCUAAUAAACCAUUGAUGUCUCUGUUGCUGUUUCCUGGCCCGUCUUUGCUUCUUUCAGGUUUGAACGGGUAUCAGGACUUCCCCGCAUGGCUCACUUCCUCCACCUCUGAAAUGAAACCAUCGGCAAAGCCAAGUGAUACGUCAUCUGCUAGCCAUGGAUCUAACUGCAUUUUUAUACUCCGGAGACCAAGCGUGGCCCCUCAACCAGCAGCAUUGGCACCACCUGGGAGAGAGCUUGUUGGAGAUGCAGACCCUAGGCACCACGCUCGGCCCACCAAGGUUCAGGCUGACGCCUCCCCAGUCCAGCCGUUCUGCACCAGUGGCAAACCAAGGAACGUCCUUCCACACCCCACGCCAAAGCCGUCUAUGUGCUGCUACUCCUUUCUUCGGGCCUUUAAGUCUCCUUGACGUGAUCUCGACCUAACUCCUGGCCUGAUUUGCAAGUCCUUUACCCACCUCCCAGAAAACAACCCCUCCCUCAGCCACCCUGGGAUUCCUCCCCCUGCAGGCUGCCCCCCACCCCCACUCCCACCCUGGUCCUGGAACUGCUCUUCCCUGGCCAGGACACAUCUGCUUGGCACUCUCUCUGCCCCUGAAGAGCUGCUUCAAACUGAUUUCUGGAAGCACUCCAGCACGCCCAAGUCUUGGUUAACAGUUUCCUAAAAAGCAUGAUGUCCAUAGUUAGACUCAAAUGCAAGAAGGGAAGUCCUCAGGAACCAGAAAUAAGAGGGGGCUCCGAGAAAAGGCAGGGGAGGAGGAAAGAAGAAGGGCACUCCGGGAGACGGGGUUUAUAGCUGGUUGUUAGAGGACUCUGAACUUUUCAGAUUAAAAAAAAAACUAAAUAAUAUAAAUUUUUUUAAGAUUUUUUAAAAAAACCUAAAGGCAAUGUGCUAACCUGGAUUGGGUCCUAGGACAGAAAAAGUAUAUCAGUGAAAAAACUUGUGAAAUUCAAAGUCUGGAAUGUGGUUAAUAGCAACGAACCCACAUUGAUCUCUUAGUUAUGGCAAAUGGGUGAUGGCCGUGAAUGAGCAGGGUGAGUUUGUUUCUUUAUGCUUUUCUCUGUUUUCCACCAUGUGCCUACAUUACAGUUGGCUGUCAUUUUCACGCAUGAAGAGAUAUUGAAGGGACUUCCCUGGUGGUCCAGUGGCUAAGACUCUGUGCUCCGAAUGGAGAGGGCCUGGGUUCAAUCCCUGGUCAGGGCACCAGACAAUGCUUGCCGCAACUAAAACUCCUUCACGCUGCAGUGAAGAUCACAGAUCUCACUUGCCACCACUAAGACUGUCAAUCCCAUUUGCAAGACAAAAUCAAACAAGCUCUGAAGGCUGCAAGAUUUUUUUACAUUUUGUCAGCAAACGUGACCGCUUGGAUGGAAGGCUGUUAAUAAUAUUAACACAGUACUUAUCUUGCUUCAUGUGAUCAUUCAUAUGCCGAGAAAUAUCAGUGGGCUUGACUGCAGGGCAUCACCGUGAUCCCACGGGCGUGUCCUGUAACGUACCUAGUGUGCACGCACCCUGUACUACCUUCUAAAAUCCACAGAAUUCUGGAUUUGGAAAGCCAUGUGGCCCUGAUAGAGACGGGCAGUGGUUUGGGGAUCUGUGUUACAAACACCCCUGCCCUUCCACUCAGCUUAAGAAAUCUAAUAUUACUAAAACUGUCAACUCCCCUCCCACCCCCUGCCAGGGGUACCCCAUCCAUAACUUGCACGAUUUUGAUGAUCAAGAGGACAGCCAUGUUUUAGAAACACAACCAGUCACAGCAGGGGCAGUGAGAAGAACUUGGAGGUUUCAGAGGCCCAUCUGUGUGGGUGGAAUUCCCACCCUCCAGCCUCCCCGCCUCCCUCUACCUCUACGCACCCACCUCAACUUUCCUGAAGUGAAAGCCACAAAAAGUUGCCUGCCUGGGUGUCGGGAGGGGACUUAUACAAUCAUGGUGGAACCAUGAUACUCUUCCUCUCAUAGGAGAGCUUGAGCAUCUGGAGGCUGAAGACAGCUACCUGGGCCGGUUUGACAGGACAUUGUGGGAAAGUAGAGGGAGACUCAGAGGGGGUCCCAUGGCCUGGAUGGGGGCCCAUCAGAACCACUGUGGUCAUCUGCCUCUGGAGAUGGAAGGGCCAAAGCUGACCCAGCGUUCCCAGGCUGAGAAAAAAGGAAGCUGCUGAGCAAUGCCUGGGGCCCAGGUCACCCCAUGGCUAAUUUGCCAAUGAUGUGGGCACCCUCUUACUCUCUUUGGCCCUUGGUUUUCUCGCCUGUGUGAUAGGGAAGUAAUCCCUUGCCUUGUCCGCCUCUCUCAUCUAGGAAAAGGCCUCCUGAGCCUCGCCUUCUUCAUCUGUAAAAUGGGGAUGAUAAUAUUGGCUACCUCCAAGGGUUGUGGCAAAGAUUAAAUGAGGAAAUCCACAUAAAGAGAAGGAAUUGCGCUUGGUUACUCUCCAAAAGAUGCUGCCAUUGCUUUUGUCUAACAAUAUUCAUGACGUGGUGACCAUGCUUCAUUCCUGGGAGAAGAGGUGGGGGACAGUGCAGAGCUCAAUACACUUGGUUUCUACCUUCAAGAGGCUCAAGGUUUCUCAGAUAAUCCCAGACCUAAAUGUAAAAUGGCCCCUGAGGAGUGUCUUAAACGACAGAUGCACCAGGCUGUGGUUUGGGAGUCUUAGAGAGAAAACCUCACCUAGUUAGGGUGUGGGGAGGCCCUCCCCGAGGAGAAGGAAAAUCAGAUGGAGCAAGGAAGAGGGAGAGGACUUCUGGACUGGGGGAACAGCAUGUGCAAAAGCCCUGUGGUGGGAACAGGGCCAAGGCACGGGAUGGGUAGGUGGCCAGGGACUGGGAUGUCUGGGCUCAGGGAGAUCUCUCCCCAUCAAAAAAUUGAACCAAUAGGUACUUUUUUUUUAAGUGGCUCAGACAGUAAAGAAUCCACCUGCAAUGCAGGAGACCUGGAUUCAAUCCCUGAGUUGGGAAGAUCACCUGGAGGAGGACAUGGCAACCCACUCCAGGAUUCUUGCCUAGAGAAUUCCAUGGACAGAGGAGCCUGGCGGGCUACAGUCCAUGGGGUCGCAAAGAGUUGGACAUGACUGAGUGAUAAGCAUAGCACAUAAAGUCUCUGUUGAAUUUGUCAGGCUUCCAUGGAGGCACAGCGGUAAAGAACUAGCUUGCAAUGCAGGAGACACUGGUUUGAUCCCUGGGUCAGGAAGAUCCCCUGGAGGAGGGCAAGGCAACACACUAGUAUUCUUGCCUGGAGAAUCCCAUGGACAGAGGAGUCUGGUGGGCUACAGUCCAUGGGGUUGCAAAGAGCGACUUAGUGACCAAGAAACAAUUGAAUUUGUUACAAUAUUGCUUCUGUUUUGUAUGGUGUUGUUUUUUUUUUUCCCCAGGAGGAAUGUGGGAUCUUAGUUCCCUGACCUCUUUAUCUUUAGUAUCUGUGAUUAUCCCUUUCUUUUGUUUGAACGCAGCUGUAUAUUAAAUAAAACCAUGGAACCUGUGCCCCUUUACUGGAAGGUGAUGUCUUAACCACUGGACCACCAGGGAAAUCCCAAACCAAUAGGCACCUUGCAACAAAAGGUUUUAUUUAAUACACAGCUGAGCUC
ensembl:lncRNA